GACGAACGCUGGCGGCGUGCCUAAUACAUGCAAGUAGAACGCUGAAGAGAGGAGCUUGCUCUUCUUGGAUGAGUUGCGAACGGGUGAGUAACGCGUAGGUAACCUGCCUUGUAGCGGGGGAUAACUAUUGGAAACGAUAGCUAAUACCGCAUAACAAUGGAUGACACAUGUCAUUUAUUUGAAAGGGGCAAUUGCUCCACUACAAGAUGGACCUGCGUUGUAUUAGCUAGUAGGUGAGGUAAUGGCUCACCUAGGCGACGAUACAUAGCCGACCUGAGAGGGUGAUCGGCCACACUGGGACUGAGACACGGCCCAGACUCCUACGGGAGGCAGCAGUAGGGAAUCUUCGGCAAUGGGGGCAACCCUGACCGAGCAACGCCGCGUGGGUGAAGAAGGUUUUCGGAUCGUAAAGCUCUGUUGUAAGUCAAGAACGGGUGUGAGAGUGGAAAGUUCACACUGUGACGGUAGCUUACCAGAAAGAGACGGCUAACUACGUG
rnacentral:rRNA from 1 species